CUUCUCUUGAGAGCGGCGGACGGGUGAGUAAUGCCUAGGAAUCUGCCUGGUAGUGGGGGAUAACGCUCGGAAACGGACGCUAAUACCGCAUACGUCCUACGGGAGAAAGCAGGGGACCUUCGGGCCUUGCGCUAUCAGAUGAGCCUAGGUCGGAUUAGCUAGUUGGUGAGGUAAUGGCUCACCAAGGCGACGAUCCGUAACUGGUCUGAGAGGAUGAUCAGUCACACUGGAACUGAGACACGGUCCAGACUCCUACGGGAGGCAGCAGUGGGGAAUAUUGGACAAUGGGCGAAAGCCUGAUCCAGCCAUGCCGCGUGUGUGAAGAAGGUCUUCGGAUUGUAAAGCACUUUAAGUUGGGAGGAAGGGCAGUAACCUAAUACGUUGCGGUCUUGACGUUACCGACAGAAUAAGCACCGGCUAACUCUGUGCCAGCAGCCGCGGUAAUACAGAGGGUGCAAGCGUUAAUCGGAAUUACUGGGCGUAAAGCGCGCGUAGGUGGUUUGUUAAGUUGGAUGUGAAAUCCCCGGGCUCAACCUGGGAACUGCAUUCAAAACUGACAAGCUAGAGUAUGGUAGAGGGUGGUGGAAUUUCCUGUGUAGCGGUGAAAUGCGUAGAUAUAGGAAGGAACACCAGUGGCGAAGGCGACCACCUGGACUGAUACUGACACUGAGGUGCGAAAGC
rnacentral:rRNA from 1 species